UGACAAUGGCCAGUGGUUCAUUACAUGUUAAUAUCUGUAUCUGAGUAGUUUUUAAAUAUUUAAUAAAUGCUUGAAUUUAUUGGUUUAGCAUACAAAUUUGCUUGCAAUAAUACUUUCUCAUUAUAAUUAUUUGAAUUUUUAUAUUUAUUUAUUAGACUGCCGACCUCGCGCCUGCUGAUUUGCCCACAGAAUAUUAUCAAAUGCGUAUUCAAUAAAUUUGACCGUCAAUUUGAAGGCUCUGCUCGUUCACACUCCACAAUCAUAUCAUACAAUCCUCAUACAUCAAUUAACAGUAUCAAUACACACAAUUUGGAAUGUAUUUUUUCCUUUUUUUUUUUUUAAUUUCUCAGUUUGGACACAACUUAGAAGAGGGGCUCACAUGGAAACACACAAUUAUUUGAUACGUGGAUAAUUGACUAAACAUUUUCAUGGGGUUAAUUGGGAAAUUGUUUUCUAAAAUCAAAAUCAAACCUAAAAACUCUAAAAUAUCGCUCAUAUUUUAAAUAUAUUGCUUAUUCAUAAAAUAUAGAGUAGGGGAAAACCGAAACAAAAUCGCAGGAAAACCGUUUGCUCAAUUUUAAUCCUAAGUACUUAUAUAUGGAACCAAGAGACACGACUAAAUACUUAAGUACGACUUAUAUGACAUUACGAAUAUUUUUUGUAACUUUUGAAGUACUUGUUUAACUUUGAACUAACACACGGGACGCACACACAUUUUAAAUUUUAAGCUAUUUUAAAUAUCACUAUGCAAUAUCCCAAAA